GAAGUUCAGACUCAGUGUCUGCAGGACCGAUGGAGAAAAUGGGCUUUUUGAUGGAGUUCUGUCUUUCUUGGUGCUUUAAAUUGAGCCUGGGUUUCUAAUCAACAGCUUUCACAUGUGUCAACAGGAAACAAGCACACACCUUACUCCAGAGAAAGAAGAAUAAGCUGUUUGUGUAUUCCACAUAGUGCACAGUGACCAUGGCACACGAGGUGAAGUUUCUGACGUCAGUCAAGAUUUAACGUACGUGCGGUCGUCAUAUAUCAAACAUAACACCCUUAUCUCGGAUAAAGAAAAGGAGGAGUGUUAGGGAUUGCCACCUCAUCUUGUCCAGCUCUGUGAUUUCACACAUGGCUAGAUGGCAUUGCGAUGCCUCACUCUCUCACAUCCAUUCUGAUUCAGUUGAUUAUCCAGUAAGGUGGGUUAAUGAGUUCUCUGGGCUUGUCACUGGAGAAGAGUUCCACCUCAGCGAUCACAGCAAAUGAAUGGACAUUUUCACAACACAUAUUUGUUAUGACAUAUAUGGCAUCCCUGAUGAAGGACAUGGCACCUUGAACUUCAUACUGAUUGAAGUCAAAAGUGUAACUGCAUGUAGGCGUUUCUUAUCAAACCAAAAAUGCAACUUUUUUUUCAAUACGUCAAAAAGCAGACAGCGAGAGAGCGAAAGAGCUUGUGAAAGAGGGAGGGAGAGAGAUGGGGGAGUGUCAGUCCUCAAAACAACAGAAAAGCUCUCAAAAACAGAAACAAUAGGCCUAGUAUUGCAGGAAAAUGGAGGGGAGGAGGCUUUGCAGUUGUUAUUUUCACAUCAAAACAAUAACAACAGCAAAAAAUUAAGAACCCAUACUGUCAUACUGUCAAUAAGAUAAAAUAAAGCACUCUUACAGGAACAAUUUUGAUGCCUUCAGAAAAACAUGAUUUCCUUAAUAAAGGAUAUAUUCAUAAAUUCUCUGCAUUAAUGUUGAAACUAAUAAAUUAUAUCGUCUUUUAUGUCUAUCAUAAGAUAAUAAAAUGACCUGUGCAAAGACAAUGGAUUUAUAUUCCCUUUUCCUCAAGAUAAGCUAUUGUUUACUACCAUCUAGUGGAUAAAACAUCUCUGACUGGUCUGACUGGUCAGGUAGAAAUG